rnacentral:tmRNA from 1 species
GGAUGCCCUGCCUGGGGUUGAAGCGUUAAAUCUAAUCAGGCUAGUUUGUUAGUGGCGUGUCUGUCCGCAGCUGGCAAGCGAAUGUAAAGACUGACUAAGCAUGUAGUGCCGAGGAUGUAGGAAUUUCGGACGCGGGUUCAACUCCCGCCAGCUCCACCA